rnacentral:rRNA from 1 species
CCUACGGGAGGCAGCAGUGGGGAAUAUUGCACAAUGGGGGAAACCCUGAUGCAGCGACGCCGCGUGAGUGAAGAAGUAAUUCGUUAUGUAAAGCUCUAUCAGCAGGGAAGUAAAUGACGGUACCUGAGUAUGAAGCCCCGGCUAACUACGUGCCAGCAGCCGCGGUAAUACGUAGGGGGCAAGCGUUAUCCGGAUUUACUGGGUGUAAAGGGAGCGUAGACGGCAGGUCAAGUCCGGAGUGAAAGGUUGGGGCGCAACCCACAGACUGCUCUGGAAACUGGACGGCUGGAGUGCAGGAGAGGUAAGUGGAAUUCCUAGUGUAGCGGUGAAAUGCGUAGAUAUUAGGAGGAACACCAGUGGCGAAGGCAGCUUACUGGACUGUAACUGACGUUGAGGCUCGAAAGCGUGGGGAGCAAACAGGAUUAGAUACCCCGGUAGUC